GCAUGCACAGGUUUAUUCACCUCAUUAAUUUUUGAGGAUGUUUAUAAGAUUAAAAGCUGAUUCAAGGACCAUUUGUGGAAAUGGAUUUGUAGAGUCAGAUUAUAUUAAAAUAAGAUUGCAAGGCUAGAUAGAAAAAUGGUCAGUGUCUUAUAGAGCAGUACAUUAUAACCUUUGACGUUAACUUUACUUUGGAACAAAAAUUAUUCGCAUCUCUUCUGUGCACAAAUCUACAGCUUGGUAUGCCUUUCAUUAAAAGUAAAUAGCAGCAUCCAACACCAGUACAUUUGACUAGAAAAGGAAGUAAUCCUUGGGCUUGAAAAAUACCCUUUGAUAGGACAUUGAAAGGAUCACUGUUUUUCUGGUCUCAUUUUCAGAUUUUGGAUAAUUUUUCUUAAUAGAUUUUUAAAAAUCUGUAUCAAAACAAUGGAUUAAAAAGUGGCAGCUCACUGUUUUACUCAGAAUUUCUGUAAUGAUUAGUAAGUUCUGGGCAGUUGCUAUUUUUACUCUCUAGUUCCAGGUCUCUUUAAACAAACAUCCCUGACAGGAAAACGCUUCCUUCUGUUUAGUGACCAGAGUGCCUGGCACAGCUGAAGGGCUGCCUCACGAAGUUAGGUCUCCUAGGCAACAGGGAAACCAAGACCUGAUUGCUCCCAGGAAAGAUUUGGCUGGAUGCAUAAAAGCUCCUGGGCUUCCCUGGUGGCUCAGAGGGUAAAGAAUCUGCCCGCAAUGCGGGAGACCCAGGUUCGAUGCCUGGGUCUGGAAGAUCGCCUGGAGAAAGAAAUGACACCCGACUCCAGUACUCUUGGCUAGAGAAGUCGCAAAGAGUCGGAUGUGACUGAUUGACUUGACUUCCUAGACUUGACUUCCUAAAAGCUCCUGCGCAUCUGGAGAGAUGCUGACCCCGCGGUCAGCCCAUCAGUCACCAGGAUUCAGCAGUCAGCCCCUCAGUCACCAGCACGGACAGGUUGCUGCCACUUUGGGGAGUCGCCAGCCUGUGGGAAACACCUUUUCUUCCCAGCUCACAAGGCAAACGGGAGGUAAAGAUAAACUUGGAUGAAAACUUGGAUGAAAACUUGGACGAAAGCUGACGAUCUGAUAUGGGCUAAUCACUGGAGCCGGCUGAGCAAAACUUGGAGAUGGUGAUUGUGUGUGAGGGUGUGUUGGGGGUGUGUUGGAGGUGUGGGGGACACACCCCUCGGACAAGUUGCUUCACGUGACCGGCAACCGGCCCUCGGUGCCCACCGUUUCUGCCGAGCUUCUUUAGACUUUCUAGAAGUGCAAAGCGCUGAAGGGCCUCGCCCUGGGUCUGACCACCCCGCCUCGGGCGACGUGAGGUCGCCCAAGACACUGCAAUUGAGUUCCAAAGCCUGAACUAACUUCCGAGUCUUGAACUCUGGCUUGAAGUUACCUCCCAGUGAGGACCAUCAUGCGGAGCGGGCGGCUGCGACCCCAGGUUCUCCCCCCGGCAGCUGCCCCGG
rnacentral:lncRNA from 1 species